rnacentral:rRNA from 1 species
CGCCCUUCGCAAAGUAUUCUAAUGUAUGAAGGGUCCUGCCUGCCCAGUGACUUCUAGUUAAACGGCCGCGGUAUCUUGACCGUGCAAAGGUAGCAUAAUCAUUUGCCUCUUAAAUAGGGGCUGGUAUGAAUGGCAAGACGGGGUUUAGCUGUCUCUUCCUUGAUGAAUUUAAAUUUAAUUUCUUUGUGAAGAAGCAAAGAUGUGAUCGUAGGACGAGAAGACCCUGUCGAGCUUAAGCAGAAAAUAAGGGCAAGUGUUAAAAGUAUUCUUUUGCUAAUACACCCUGUGGGGGGUAAAGGUUUUUACUUUAGAUAUGGGUAUGUUGUGCACUUUAUGUUUUGAUUGGGGCAAUCACGGAGAAGAAAUACCCUCCGUUGUAAAAGAUUAAUGUUGUGAAGAGACUUCUUUAAAAUGUAAGAAUACAUAUUUAUGAUCCACAAGUUAAGUGAGUAAAGGAACAAGUUACCGCAGGGAUAACAGCGUAAUUUUUUUGGAGAGUUCAUAUUGAUAAGAAAGUUUGCGACCUCGAUGUUGGAUCGGGAUUUCCAGGAGAUGCAGCAGUUUCCAAGGGUUGGUCUGUUCGACCAUUAAAAUCCUACG